rnacentral:rRNA from 1 species
UCGUCAGCUCGUGUCGUGAGAUGUUGGGUUAAGUCCCGCAACGAGCGCAACCCCUGUCCUGUGUUGCCAGCAUGUAAAGAUGGGAACUCACAGGAGACUGCCGCGGAGAACGCGGAGGAAGGCGGGGAUGACGUCAAGUCAUCAUGCCCCUUAUGACCUGGGCUACACACGUACUACAAUGGGGCGUACAGAGGGCAGCGAAGGAGCGAUCCGGAGCGAAUCCCAGAAAACGCCUCCCAGUUCGGAUUGCAGGCUGAAACCCGCCUGCAUGAAGUCGGAAUCGCUAGUAAUCGCAGGUCAGCAUACUGCGGUGAAUACGUUCCCGGGCCUUGUACACACCGCCCGUCACACCACGGAAGUCAUUCACACCCGAAGCCGGUGGGCUAACCGCAAGGAAGUAGCCGUCUAAGGUGGGGGCGAUGACUGGGGUGAAGUCGUAACAAGGUAGCCGUA